rnacentral:ncRNA from 1 species
AAAAAAGCGUUGAAGAGGAGAAGUAUGUAGAGCAAGCUCUUUAGAGAGGACCAUCACCGGCUGAAAGUGGUCUGAGCCAAUGUAAUACAGAAAUGCACCUCUGAGCACUAAGCUGAACUUUAAGUAGGCUUAGUCGGUAAGUCACCGUUAUAGACUUUAAGCGGGAAGUAUUUCUUUAGAUGCUUCCAACCAGAGUGGAACCGCGCAUAUCCAGCGUCUCUGUC